rnacentral:lncRNA from 1 species
CCAAAUUGAAUAUUCUAUAUGGCGCCGCUCCGGUUUUCUUCCCACCUGAACCUGUACUCUUCCCCGACGUAUCCAACGAACCCAAACACCCUUUCACAAUAUCAUCGAUGUAAGUAAAAUCCCUCGCCAAAUCCACCCGGUUCUUCCCACGGAAUACUGUAAUCGGCUUCCCUUGUAAUAUAUUCCUUGUAAAAGAAAAAUACGCCAUAUCCGGUCUUCCCCAAGGUCCAUACACCGUGAAAAACCUCAACCCGGUAAUCGACAACCCGUAUAUAUGAUUGUACGUAUGUGUAAUUUCCUCACCGGCUUUUUUGGUAGCCGCGUAAAGACUGGCGGGUUGAUCGGUUCGGUCCGAUUCGGAAAAGGGGACUUUUUCGUUAAGGCCAUAAACCGAACUGGAAGAAGCCCAGACCACGGCGGGUUGAGGGUUAGCCGAUUUACAAGCUUCAAGAAGCGUAACUAAACCGGCGAUAUUACUAUGUACAUAGGAAUUGGGAUUUUCCAUGGCGUAACGAACUCCAGCUUGUGCGGCUAAAUGCAUCACGUGAGUAAAAACGACGACAUCGAAGAGUUUAUCCAAUAAUCUAACGUCGUUAAUAUCGCCGUCAACGAUGAAAAUCCCGUGAUUGGAGAGAAGCGAUUUCCGUGCCUUUUUCAGCGAUGGGUCGUAAUAAGAAUUGAAAUUGUCAAGACCGACAACGCCGUCACCGCGUUUCUUUAAAGCGAGUGAAACGUGUGAACCGACGAAACCUGCAGCGCCGGUGACGACGACGGAGAAGCCGUUGG